CUAAGGCUCCAGAGGAAGCCACGGCUAACUCUGUGCCAGCAGCCGCGGUAAUACAGAGGCGGCAAGCGUUGUUCGGAAUUAUUGGGCGUAAAGAGCACGUAGGCGGCCUUGCAAGUCAGUUGUGAAAGCCUUCCGCUCAACGGAAGAAUGCCAGCUGAUACUACAGGGCUUGAGUACGGGAGGGGAGAGUGGAACCUCUGGUGGAGCGGUGAAAUGCGUAGAUAUCAGAAGGAACGCCGGCGGCGAAAGCGACUCUCUGGCCCGAAACUGACGCUGUGUGUGCGAAAGCUAGGGGAGCAAACGGGAUUAGAUACCCCGGUAGUCCUAGCCGUAAA
rnacentral:rRNA from 1 species